rnacentral:lncRNA from 1 species
GCAUGCCCUAGGUGCUGCCCCCUCUUCUCCUUAAAAAGGAUGUGGAGCUCCUAACAUUUAGGAGCUCCAAAUUAAAUUCCUUAAGAGGGGCGCCGACCCCUCUUGUAGCCGCACCAAGAUCCAAAAGGAGGAGAGGCGUGAGCCCCUCGCUCUUAUGUUGCCCUAGUCCUCCUCUAAGGAGGAUUAGGAGGCCCCUAUUUGGUUUAGUCCUAAUCUCAUUAGGCUUUAACCAAAUCAUGAACCAUUUGGGUUUAAUCUAGGGAAGUCCUAAUCCAAUUAAAACUUAAAUCAAUUAUGACUCAAUUUAACUCUUCAAUCCUAAUCCAAUUAGGAGUCUUGUUAAUUCAUUAGAUUAAUAAUUAAUUAGGAUUUAAGAAAUCCUAAUCCAAUUAGGAUUUAUUCAAUUUUUAGUCCUAAUCCAAUUAGGACUCUAAUUUGAAUCCGAAGUCCUAAUCCAAUUAGGACUUCUAGGAAUCUUAUUCUAAGUAGGAAUCCAAAUUAAAUUCAAAAUCCUAAUUCAAUUAGGAUUGUAGGAAUCCUACUCCAAGUAGGACUCCCAGUCCUAAUCCAAUUAGGACUCUAGGAAUCCUACUCCAAGUAGGAUUUGUGUUUAAGUCCAAUUAAUUAAUUCUCAUUGUUUUUUCUUCAACUGAUUUUCAAUCGGAUUGAUUACUUGUGAUUCAUAAUCACAUUUCAACCAUCGGAUCGGUCAAUACUUCUUGUGUGUGUGUGUGACCCCAUAGGUUCUAUUCUGACUGGUAGUGAGAUAUAUUGCGAUCUCUAUCACAACAUCAUUGAAAACUCAUUUCAAUGGGUUGGAACAGUUCCAACUCAUCUUAUCAGGGUUUAUCGAUCAUCAAGAUAUUCCCUGUGAGUCUCACCAUCCACCAGUGACACCUAGCAGCAUGUAGUGGUUACCCAGCAGAAUGGAAUGAUGAACCUCUAUGUACAGUUAUCGUAUGAUACAGUCUUACUAUCGUGGAUCCCUACAGGACGGAGGUCAUGGUCAACUCGUCAAACCCCAUUGUUUGUCAUAUGUCAAGAUUUAUUCGACUUAAGUUCGAGAGUGGAAAACUCUUUCUCCACUAUGCAUACUGCCCCGGCCGAGGUCUUACGAACUCAGUCUCAUAAAUCACAUAGGAUCUCUCCUUAUCUACCAAGGUCGAUAGAUUCUAUAUAGGUGCAUACCCUACUCCUACAGUGAACCCACUGCAGCCAAUCUACACUGCAUGGACCCAUAUGUCUAGAGACCAUGUAUAUGUGCAGUCAAACUACAAUAACCUUACUGUGAGUAGCCGAAGCACCGCAGGUCAAAGGACCAGUCACACUACUGCAACAUCAAGAAAGUCACUGACGAGUGGAUAGACAUCUAAGUGACUUCUUAUUUUGGUCACGCUCAGUACCCUUUUUCUUAACAAGUACCUGCACUAUCACUUCAGUGUCUCUACACUGUGGACUCGAGUCUCGUCCAUCUAUAAGGAAAGCGAUGUGUGCGCUGAUCU